GGCUCGGUAGCGGAGGGUCCGCGUCUGCCUCACUUGAAGGGGAAUCGAAAAUACACAGAUGCCGUCUGUUCGACUCAGGCCUGAGCCU